rnacentral:lncRNA from 1 species
UGGGGUUGCGAACGCCAACAGCUACCUAGAGACUCCUCGGAUUUUCCUGAACCUAGAAGGUUUAGCACUCGGGAGUUGGACCAGAUGCACCUGAAUCUGCACACAUGAUGCAAGGACUAAAGUGAGUACUCUAACUCAGUGAGUAACAAAUGUAAAUAAAGAGUGAAAGAAAAAAAUCACGUAAGACAUAAAACAUUCAAUAAUGAAGCAGUAAAACCAUUUAAGAAUAGUAAAUCUGUGAAAGAUAGGUAAAAAUCCUUUAACUCAAUUGUUAUUUCAUGAAACAUCCUUUUUCAACAAUUAAUCAAGUAAUUGACAAACAAUUAAGGAAUAUAAACACAUAGAGGUUCGCCCAUCGGGCACAAUAUCAAUAAAUCCACCUCUCAUGCAACAUCUCAUAACAAUACCAGCCCCCCGGGCUCAAUCUCAUAUCACAAUGGGUACCCGCACUUACUGGAGGUGUGCAGACUCAUGGAGGGGCUCCUUAAGGCUCAAGUGCAAUAUCAAGCCAUCUCAUGUCGUACAUAUCUCAGGCCCUCGGCCUCAAAUCAUGAUCAAUCUUUCCUCAUAGCAUAGGCCCUCAGCCUUACUCAGCAAAAAAUACUCGCAAGGGUAAUAAAAAAACAGUGAUUUUUAGCACAAUCAUAAUUUAAAAGAUCAUUUAUGUAUUAAAAUGGAAUAGGCAUGGCCGAGUAUGAACAGUGGAAAAAUAACAUGACUUAGUUCAAGUAUAAAGUCAAAACAAUGAGGAAAUAUCAAUAUGAAUCCCCGAAAAAGUCAAAAUAGUUAGCACGAGGCCCAAAUAUGGCAUUCAGCCCAAAGAAUGAUGAUAGCAAAUAGAUUUUAGUCAAAUACGCAGUAAAAUAGCCAUUCGGGACGGACCAAGUAAAAAUCCCUAUCAGUGCACGACCCCACAAUCGUCAUCAACUGGCUGUGUCACCUCCAUACAGCAUAACGAUGCGAAAUCAGGGGUCUCAAACACUCAGAACAACAUUUACAAUCAUUACUCACCUUGGAUCAGUCAAAUCUCUAACUCGCGAUUCCUUAGCCCCUCUAAUUGGCCUCCACUCGUGUCAAAUCUGUCCAAACCAUUACAAGGACGUCAAAAUAGGCUAUGGGAAGAAAGCCUAAGCAAAAACAAUCAAUAAAUGGCACAAAUCCCAAAAUUACUAAAACCUCGCCCUCGGUUCCACAUCUCGGAAUUAGAUAAUUUUUACAUAAGUAGAUUCCUUAUCUCCCCACGAGUACGUAUAUAUAAAAAGUUCUCAAAUCCGACCUCAAAUAGUCCUUUAAAUCCUUAAGUAAAGGUCUAAGUUUCGAAGCCCUAGUUUCCCCAAAUGUUAACUCUUGUUUUCCAUAAGUUAUAGCUCUAAUCCAUGAAUUAAUAGCAAAGGGACGAUUUUUAAGUCCAAAUUUCAUACCUCAAUGAAGUUCCCUUAAAUUUCCUCUUUCAAAUCGACCAAAAAGCUUCAAAGGCAAAGUAGAAAUGGUUAAAACAGCUCAAAAUCAUGAAAGCCACAACUUAUACUUUCUGCCCAUACAUUUUUGCUCUGCAGCCCAAAAUCCACUUCUAUGGUACCGCAUUUGAGUUUCCUCCUACGCUUCUGCGGAAAGUCGCUUAACUCCCCUUAAAUCUGCAUUUGCAGUCUCCUACUCACAUUUGCGAAAUCGCAGAUGCACUUGUCCUAAACUCUUCUAUGGUUGCUACUCUUUAAGGCCCAUUUUAGCUUCUGUGACUAACCGCCCGCACAUGCGGCAUCGCACCUGCAGUCCUCAAUCCGUAGGUGCGGAAAUGCCAAAAUCAGCAAAGUCCAACAGUUGCAAAAAAGUCCAAACUUCUCCAUCAACCAUCUGAAAUCAACCGGGGGACCUCCGCGAAAAGCACAAACAUAUCCCAAUACCUUAUUCAAAUUUGUUCCAAUCUUCAAAAUACCUCAAACAACAUCAAAUCAAUCAAAACACAUCAGAUUCAAGCCAACUUUCUAAAAUCUUCUGAAUUUUUCUUUUGAUAAAAAAUCCUACCAAACCACGUCUGAAUAAUCUUAAAUUUUGCACACACAACCCAAAUAACCCAACAGAACUACUGGAUUUCUAGAAAUUCCAUUUUGACCCUUAUAUCAAAAUCUCACAUACCAACCAAAAAUCACCAAAAUAUCAAUUUCACCAAUUCAAGCCUAAAUUUUCUUCGAACCUCCAAAACCCAGUGUGCUAACUCUAAGUAUCAAAUCACCUCGCGAAGCUAACUGGACCAUUGAAUCUCACAUCCGAGCCCUCUAACAAAAAAGGCAACAUCUAGUUGACUUUUCUAACAUAAACUCACUCCAAAGAGACUAGGUGUCUCAAACCUUACCAAAAUCAUUCUGGAUUCGAUCCCACGAACCCGAUAUCACAUAAUACAGAUCAAAAACAUGAAUAAGCAGAAAUGGAAAAAAUAGAGAGGUAACUCAUGAGAUGAAUGGCCGGGUCGUCAUAUCCUUCCCAAUUUAAACAUACGUUCGUCCUUGAACGAGUCAAGAAACAUACUUGAAGCCUUAAACAAGUGAGGAUAUUUGCCCUGAAUCUCCCUCUAGGUCUCCCAGGUAUCCUCCUCCAUGGGCCGACCUCUCCACUGCACUUUCACUGAAGUUAUAUCCUUUGACUUCAACAUCCGAACCUGACGACCCAAAAUAGCUACUGGCUCUAAACCAUAGGUCAAAUAAUCAUCCAAUUUAACUCAGUUGUAAUCUAGAACAUGAGACAAGUCCCCAAUAUACUUCCAGAGCAUAGAAACAUGAAUUACAGGAUGCACGCUCGACGAGCUGGGUAGAACAAUAAGCUCAUGGAACAAUAAGCUCAUAAGCCACCUCCCUAAUCCGCCGAAGUACCUCAAAAGGUCCAAUGAACCACGGACUCAGUUUCCCUCUAUUCCCAAAUUUUAGAACAACCUUUAUGGGCGAAACCUUCAACAGAACAUUCUCACCAACCACGUAGGACUCAUAUCGAACCUUCGUAUCAGCAUAACUCUUUUUCCUCGACUUCAUUGUACGAAGUCUCUCCUGAAUCACCUUCACCUUCUCCAAAGCAUCCUACAACAAGUCUGCCCAUAAUAAGCUAGCCUCACCGGGUCGAACUAAUCAACUGGAGAUCUACACCGCCUCCCAUACAAAGACUCAUAUGGAGCCAUCUAAAUACUCGACUAGUAGUUGUUGUCAUAAUCAAACUUUGCAAGUGGUAGAAACUGAUCCCAUGAUCCUCCGAAAUCAAUGACAUAAGCACGCAGCAUGUCCUCCAAUAUCUGAAUAGUGUGUUCAAACUGCCCGUCCAUCUGAGGGAUAAAAGAUGUUCUCAACUCAACUUGAGUACUCAACUCUCGCUGCACAAACCUCCAAUACUAAAAUGAUAUAAACUAGGACACCAUGCAAAUGAACAAUCUACCGAAUAUAGAUCUUUGCCAAAUGCUCUGAAGAAUAGGUAGUACACACAGGAAUAGAGUGCCCAGACUUGGUUAGCCAAUCCACAAUCACCCAAGUAGCAUCAAACUUUCUCAAAGUUAGUGGCAAUCUGACAACAAAGUCCAUAUUGAUCCUCUCCCACUUCCACUUGGGAAUAUCCAUCUGCUAAAGAAGGAUACCCGGUCUCUCAUACUCGUAUUUCAAUUGCUGACAAUUGAGAGACCAAGCUACAAAUCCCACAAUAUCCUUUUUUCAUUCUUCUCCAGCAAUAGUGUUGUGAUGAUUCAGCCAGUCGUCUUAAGAAUUUACACCAUGAUCCCCUAUUAUCUGCUUCCCCUGAGUUUGGUCUACUAUUUGGAUUUUUUAGGAUAUUCGAUUUUAUGUUUCGUAGAGUUUUGGGACACUUAGUGUCUAAAUGAGAGCUUAAGUGUUGUAAAGUUGAUCGUAGUUGAAACAAUGCAAAGACGGCAUUGGAAUGGAAAUCUGAUGUUUUUGUUAGCUCUGUGAGGUGAUUCCGGGCUUAGGGGCGUGUUCGGAUUGUGCUUUGGAGCUUCGUAGUUAAUUUAGGCUUGAAAUUUCGAAAGUUGAAUUUUUAAAGUUUUCGGUUUGAUAGUGAUAUUUUGAUCCGAGACACGUCAUGUAAUUUCGAGAGUUGUAGUAGUUCUUUUAUGUCACUUGGGAUGUGUGUGCAAAAUUUCAAGUGAUUCGAAGGUGGUUUAAUGUGGUUUUUUUAUCAAAAGCGUAAGUCGGAAGAUUUGGAAAACUUAGUCUUGAAUCAGAUGUGUUUUGGUUGAUUUGAUGUUUUUUGAGGUAUUUGAAGAUUGGCACAAGAUUGAAUAAGGUGGUAGGAAAUAUUGGUGCCUUUGGUUGAGGUCCCGGGGGCUUCAGGUGUAUUUCGGAUGCUCAACGGAUCAUUUUAAUUUGUAAAAAAGUUACAACAUUGCAGGUUCAGCUGCUACAGAUAAUUACUCUUCGCGGGGAGGUUAUUGAAAUUUUAACCUUUGCGUUUGUGAGGAAUGCUCCGCAUUCGCAAAGGGUUGGAUACCUGUAAACCGAGUCCACAAUUGGGAUUCGCGUUCUCAUAGGAGGAAAAUUUACUCAUCAUAUUCGCGAUAGUAUAAUUUACUCAUCACGUUCGCGAUGUGAGGAACGCGUUCGCGAAAGUUCGUUUGGGUAAACCAUCGCGUUCACGAGGGCCUUGUCGCGUUCGCAUUAUAGGUUAUUGGUCAAAGUACUUUUUGUGCUUUGCGAACACGAGGCUUUGACCGUGUUCGCGAAAAAGGAUUUAAAUGCUUGGGCAGAAUGUUUUAAAAGGUCUAUUUCGCAAAUUUUAGCCUAGAUUUCUCCACUAUUAGGUAUUUUGAAGCUUUUUGAAGAGGGUUGAAGAGGGAUUCAAGGGGAAUCACUUAGCGGUAACGUCUUUGACUUCAUAACUCAUUAUUAUAUGAUUAAAGACCUAAUUAGUGGUGCAAAAUUUUGGAGAAAUGGCUUAUUAGGGCUUGAGUUUAAGAGACCUAAAAAGGGGUAUUUGAGGGGAUAAUUAAACUCUGAUUUUAGUGUUCUUGUUAUGCAUAGACUCGUGAGAGUAUGAGGAUUUCGAAAAUGUAAAUUUUACCCGAUUUUGAGAUGUGGGCUUGAGUGGAAUUUUAGUCAUUUUACCUAAUUUCGCAUAUUAGCUUAGAAUUUAAUUGUGGCAUGAGUUACUUGAGGUGUUAUUUACAAUAUACAAUUGAAUUGAAUCGAUUUAGGCCAUUUGGAGCUGCAUACUCGUGGCAAAAGCAUGGUUUCGGGUUUACUUGCGCUUGUUCGAGGUAAGAAGUUUGUCUAAAUUUGUGGGNNNNNNNNNNNNNNNNNNNNNNNNNNNNNNNNNNNNNNNNNNNNNNNNNNNNNNNNNNNNNNNNNNNNNNNNNNNNNNNNNNNNNNNNNNNNNNNNNNNNNNNNNNNNNNNNNNNNNNNNNNNNNNNNNNNNNNNNNNNNNNNNNNNNNNNNNNNNNNNNNNNNNNNNNNNNNNNNNNNNNNNNNNNNNNNNNNNNNNNNNNNNNNNNNNNNNNNNNNNNNNNNNNNNNNNNNNNNNNNNNNNNNNNNNNNNNNNNNNNNNNNNNNNNNNNNNNNNNNNNNNNNNNNNNNNNNNNNNNNNNNNNNNNNNNNNNNNNNNNNNNNNNNNNNNNNNNNNNNNNNNNNNNNNNNNNNNNNNNNNNNNNNNNNNNNNNNNNNNNNNNNNNNNNNNNNNNNNNNNNNNNNNNNNNNNNNNNNNNNNNNNNNNNNNNNNNNNNNNNNNNNNNNNNNNNNNNNNNNNNNNNNNNNNNNNNNNNNNNNNNNNNNNNGGCUUUUUGCAUAGGAUUUGGUAUAUUUGAUACUUGAAAUGCCUUUUACGUAAGGUGACGAGUGCUUAUUUCUGCUAAUUAUUGGAAAUCUGAUUUUUCAUUAAGUACUACUAGUAUGUUUACUUUACUGUUUAAUUAUUGUACUAUUUAAGCAUGUGUUAGCUUAGUAAAAGAAUGCCUAAGUGAUUAAAUUGCUUUUUUGUUUAACUUCCUUACCUGAAGUCUGUGCAGUCUGCUAGGCUAGACUAUUUGUUUGCCUUAAUAUGAAAUUUGAUAGUUUCAGAAAGUUUCUCCAAUUGUUGUUGUUGCGUAUUUACAUUGGGACUACGGAUGUGGGGUCCGGUAUCUCCCCCUUGUCUGUUUACAUUUGGGACUAAGAAUGUGGGAAUCCGGUAGAUCCCCUGCACAGUGAUAUGGAGCUAUGGGAAUGCACCCAGUAGAUUCCCCUAAUACUGGGUAUUUAUGUUUGGGACUACGAAACGGGAUUCUAGUAGAUCCUCGUGUACUAUGAGUUAUAAUACAGGACGGUUUCCAUUUAGGACUUCAUGAUGGUAUCCUGGAAGAUCCCUAGUUGAUAUUAUUGGAGUUGAGAUGCAUUUUCCUUCGAUGUUUACAUUGUUUUUGUGUAAUUGUUCUUGUCCUUUAUAUCUGUGUUACUUUCACUAUUGUUAAUACUUGUACUGCUUUCUGUUCUAUACUGUCGAAUUAUAUCUUUUAUUUAAUCUCAGUAAGGCCCUGACCUUCCUCGUCACUACUCAACCAAGGUUAGGCUUGGCACUUACUGAGUACUGUUGUGGUGUACUCAUGCCCUUUCUGCGCAUGUUUUUCAUGUGCACAUCCAGGUACUUCCACUCAGUCUUAUCAUCCUUGAGGCGAGGCACUUUUUUAGAGACUUCAAGUUUAUGUGCAGAUCAAGGUACCUCCACUCAGGCUUACAAUUCUUAAGGGGAGGCGAUUCUACAGGACUUUGAGGUAUAUCUUCCGUGUCCGCAGACAGAUGAGUCUCUUUUUAUUCCUGCAUUUUGCAUUUAGCCCUUUUGUACUUCUUGUUCUUGUAGGACAUUCUGGAGAUUAGAGCUAUGUAGUAUUUUCAAAGCUUUUGGAUUUGUGAGUUUUCAGGUUUUAGGAUAGCGUAUAAGAUUUUUUGAAGUUGUGUGUAUAUGCCGAACGACAUUUAAAUAUUAUUUCCUUCAGUUAUUUUGGACUUUGGAUUAUUUAUUCCGCAAGUUUAGUUUAUUUUCCGCAUUUGUCAAGCUUAUCUAGUCGUAAAGACAUAGGAGUCAUAGAUUACAAGCCAGUUUAUUAGAGUCUCGCUAAUCGGUACAGAGACGUCUGUACUUAUCUACGAGAGGCUAUGUAACUAUUAGGAAAAUUCCACUUCAUUUGAUUUCCUGGUCAUGUGAGAUUUUUGAUAUCACAAUUCUAAACUUAUGUCUUUCUAUUCUCUCACAGAUGGUGAGGACAGAUGCUACGCGAGAUGAUCAGGCACUUGUGCCCCUUACUGCAGCUGUCUGAGGUCGGGGCCGAGGUAGAGGUCGAGGAAGCGCACGUGGUGUAGCCAGAGCACCUACACAAUCUACCACCAAGGAGCCACCGAUAGUGUCAGUUGGAGCACAGGCACCUGACACAUCUAGUGCUACUAUCACACCAAUACUUCAGAAGAAUCUAGCAUAGUUUAAGAGCAUGUACACUACUUUGGCUUCGGAGGGUUGCUUCACCAUGCUGGAGUCCCGGGCCAUCCCGAAGAUAGGGGACUGGCUUCAAAGGAUGAGUAGCGGAGACUUGAGAGGUUCAAGAAAUGUGAUCCUUCUGUAUUCAGUGGGUUAGCAUCAGAGAAUGACUUGUGAUUUCUAGAGGAGUGCUACCGUAUUCUUCGUACCAUGGAUAUAUUAGGAUUGAUUGAGGUUUUAUUCACUACUUUCUAGAUUCAAGGAGUUGCCUAUAAGUGGUGGCGCACCUAUGAGUUAGAUAGUCCGCACGAGGCUACAUCGCUGACUUGGACCUAGUUUUCAGAUCUAUUUCUAAGAGAGUUUGUUCCUUCGAGCCAUAGAGAUGCAUGGCAUGCUCAGUUUGAGCAUUUGCGCCAGAGUGCUAUGACUAUCUUAGAGUAUGUUGUCGCUUGUACUAGCUUGGCUAGGCCUGCACCAGACUUUGUUUCUACUAUUUGCGAGAGGGUUCACUGGUUUAUUGAGGCGCUUAUUCCCAAAAUCCUGUCUAGUAUGGCUCGUAAGUUGGGGAUGGAUACCCCUUAUCAGCAGCUGGAGGUUAUGCAUGCUAGGGAGAGAGAUGAUAGGGAGGUCAAGAGGUCUCGACAGUUGGGCCAUUAUUAUGCUGCUCGUACCCUAGCUGUAGGUCAUCAUGGUAGGGUUUAUAUAAGCCGCCAUGUUCAUUCAGCUCUUCCAGUAGCCAGUAGGUCUCGACAGUUGGGCCAUUAUUAUGCACCUCUAGUUUCUAGCACGCCUCCUAUGCGGGGUGUUUUCAGAGGUCAGUCUAGCAGACCUGGACCGAGUCAGUCACAGCCACCGCAUCCUCCCAGAGUUUAUUUUGAGUGUGGUAUCACAUGCCAUAUGGUGAGGGAUUGACCAAGACUUGAGAGGGUUCACCUUCACUGACUUCUAAGCCAUAAUGUUCCUCGCAGAGUUCUCAGGCCAUGGUUACAACUCCAGUUGUUACCCCACCUGCUCAACCAGUUGGAGGUGGAGUUUGGGGAGGAAGAGGUCACCUUAGAGGGGGAGGCCAGGGUGUAUACUAUGCCCUUUCUGCCCGUACCAAGGUUGUUGCCUCUGAUUCUGUCAUCACAAAUAUUAUACUGGUUUCAUAGAGAUGCAUUGGUUCAUUUCGAUCCAGGCUCCACUUAUUCUUUUAUGUCUUCUUAUUUUGCUCCGCAUUUGGGUGUAUCCCGAUAUUCUUGAGUUCCCCUUUUUAUGUUUCUACUCGUGCGAGAAAUUUUUUUAUUGUGGAUCGCGUUUAUCGGUUUUGUUUGGUUGCUCUUAGUGCUCAGCAUGGUAGACUUUGAUACUAUCUUAGGCAUGGACUGGUUGUCACCCCAUUAUUCUUUUCUUGAUUGUCACACUAAGACCAUGACGCUAGCUAUGAUAGGUAUGCCGCGUGUUGAGUUCUCGGGUGCUAUAGAUCACACUCCUAGUAGAGUUUUUUCUUUCCUUAAAGCUUAGUGUAUGGUUGAGAAGGGUGAAACGUGUAUCUAGCCUAUGUGAGAGUUGCCAGUAUUGGUACCCCUUCAGUUGAUUCUUUACUAGUAGUGCGAUACUUUUUCGAUGUGUUUCCAGCUGAUCUUCCAAGCAUGACGCCUGAUAGAGAUAUUGAUUUUGGUAUUGAUUUGUUGCCGGGCACUCAGCCCAUCUCCAUUCCUCCAUAUCGUAUAGCUCAUCCUGAGUUGAAGGAGUUGAAGGAUCAGUUGCAGGAAUUGCUUGAUAAGGGUUUUAUUAGACCCAGUGUAUCACCUUUGGGUGCUCCUAUCUUGUAUGUGAAGACAAAGGAUUGUUCUAUGCGUAUGUAUAUUGAUUAUCGCCAGUUGAACAAGGCUAGAAUGAAGAACUGUUAUCCUUUGCAUCGUAUUGAUGAUAUACUUGACCAAUAUUAGGGCGUACGAGUGUUUUCUAAGAUUGACUUGCGCUCAGGUUACCAUCAAUUGAAGAUUCAGGAGCCAGAUAUCCCAAAGACUACUUUCAGAACUCGGCAUGGUGACUAUUAGUUUCUUGUUAUGUCAUUUGGGUUGAUCAAUGCCCCAACAACCUUUAUGCAUUUGAUAGACAGUGUAUUCCGGCCAUAUCUUGACUCUUUUGCCAUUGUCUUUAUUGAUGACAUUCUGGUGUAUUCCCGGAGUCCGGAACAUCAUGAGCAGUACCUGAGGACAGUGCUUCAGACUCUAAGGGAAAAGAAGUUAUAUGCAAAGUUCUCAAAAUGUGAGUUUUAGUUGGAUUCCGUGGCAUUCUUAGGCAACGUAGUAUCGAGUAAAGGUAUUCGGGUGGAUCUGAAUAAGGUAGAAGCAGUGCAGAGUUGGCCCAAACCAUCCUCAGCUAUAGAGAUUUGUAGUUUUCUCGGUUUGGUGGGUUACUACCGUCACAUUGUGGAGGGGUUUUCAUUGAUUGCAGCCUCUAUAACUAGACUGAACUGGACGGGUGCUCCGUUCCAAUAGACAGAAGAGUGUGAGGCGAGGUUUCAGAAGCUUAAGAAGGCUUUCACUACAGCCCCAAUUUUUGUAUUCCCUACAGGUUUGGGGUCUUAUACGGUUUAUUGUAAGGCCUCGAGGGUUGGCCUCGGAGCGAUGUUGAUGCAGGACUGUAGGGUGAUUGCCAACGCAUCCAAACAGUUGAAGAUACAUGAGAAGAAUUACCUUGUCUAUGACCUUCAGUUAGCUGCCAUUGUUACGCCCCGAAGAUUUGGCGCCAUUAUCUAUUUGGUGUGCCUUGUGAGAUUUAUACUGACCAUCGGAGCUUGCAAAACCUGUUCAAGCAAAAGGAUCUAAAUUUGCGUUAGAGGAGGUGGUUAGAUUUACUGAAGAAAUAUGAUAUUACUAUUCUAUAUCACCCGGGUAAGGCCAAUGUAGUGGAAAAUGCUUUGGGUCGCCGGGAAGGAGUAUGGCUUAUCUACCAGCAUUAGAGAGGCCUAUGGCAAUUGAUGUUCAUGCCUUAGCCAUCCAGUUUAUGAGAUUGGAUCUUUUAGAGCCUAAUAGGGUAUAGCUACGUGGUUUCUCGGUCUUUCUUAUUUGAUUGUAUUAGGGAGCGGCAAUAUGAUAACUCUUAUUAGCUUCUCCUCAAGGACAAGGUUCAGCAUGGUGAUGCCAGAGAUAUUACCAUUGGCUAGGACGGAGAGUUGAGGAUGCAGGGUCGGGUUUGUGUACUCAAUGUUGACGAGCUUCGGGAGCGGAUUAUAGAGGAAGCCUACAAUUCAUAAUAUUCAAUCUAUCCGGGUGCUGCGAAGAUGUAACAAGAUUUGAGGCAGCACUAUUGCUGGAGGAGAAUGAAGAAAGAUAGAGUUAGGUUUGUAGCUCGGUGCCUUAACUGUCAGCAUGUGAAAUAAGAGCACCAGAGACCGGGUGGAUUGCUUCAGCAGAUAGAGAGUCCUGAGUAGAAGUGGGAGCGAAUCACCAUGUACUUUGUAGUUGGUCUCCCGUGGACAUUGAGAAAGUUUGACGCUUUUCUGGUGAUUGUGGAUCAGUUGACCAAGUCCGCUCAUUUACUACUUUUAUGUACUACUUGUUCUUCGAAGUGGUUGGUGGAGAUUUAUAUCCAGGAAAUUGCUCGUCUGGAUGGUAUUCCAGUCUUUAUCAUUUAGGAUAGAGGUACUCAGCUUACACCACGAUUUUGGAGGGCCGUUCAACUUGAGUUGGGUACUCGGUUAGAGUUGAGUACAAUAUUUCACUCUCAGAUAGACGGCCAGUCCGAGCGCACUAUUUAAAUUUUUGAGGAUAUGCUCCGUGCGUGUUUGAUCGAGUGUGGAGUGUCUUGGGAUCAGUUCUUACCAUUGGCGGAGUUUUCUUACUAACAACGUUUAUAAGUCAAACGUUCAGAUAGCACUGUAUGAGGCUUUGUAUGGUCGACGGUGUAGAUCCCUAGUGGAUUGGUUCGAGCCCGGUGAGGCUAGAUUACUCGGCACAGACUUAGUUUAGGAUGCUUUGAAGAAUGUUAAGGUGAUUAAGGAUAGACUCCAUACAGCCCAGUCCAGACAGAAGAGUUAUGUGGACCGAAAGGUUUGUGAUGUUUCCUAUAUGGUUAGAGAGCAGGUUCUGCUUCGAGUUUCUCCUAUGAAGGGCGUUAUGAGGUUUUUGAAGAAAGGGAAGUUGAGUCUGAGGUUUAUUAUCCCUUUUUAGAUAUUGAGGCGAGUUGGGAGUUUACUUAUGAGCUUGCCUUACCUCCCAACUUGGCAAGAGUUCAUCCGGUAUUUCAUGUUUCGAUGCUCUAUUGGUAUCAUGGUGAUAUGUCACACGCGUUGGAUUUAAGUUUAGUCCAGUUGGACAAGGAUCUAUCAUAUGUUUAGGAGCCAGUGGCAAUAUUGGGCCGGAAGGUUCGAGGAGGUGACCUGGGAGACCGAGAUGGAUAUGGGAAAUAUUGCAUUAGUGAAGGUUUAGUGGUGGGGUCAGCCGGUCUAGGAGGUGCCCUGAGAGACCGAGAUAGAUAUGGGCAGCCGUUAAACUCAUCUUUUCACUACUUCAGAUAUGUCCUUAUGCUCGUUCGAGGACGAACAAAUGUUUAAGUGUAGGAGGAUGUGAUGACCAGGCCGGUCAACUUAAGAAUUUAUGCCCCGAUCCCCUAUUAACUGCUUCCCCCAAGUUUAUUUCUGCUAUUUUGAUUUGUCGAGAUGUUUGGUUUUAAGUUUCAGAAGUGUUGGGACACUUAAUUCCUAAAUGAGAGGUUAAGUAUUAAAAAAUUGACCGUAGUUGGAACAGUGCAAAGAUAGCCUCGAAAUGGAAAUUCGAUUGUUCCGUUAGCUCCGUUAGGUUAUUUCGGACUCAAGGCGUGUCCAGAUUUUGUUUUGGAGGUCCGUAGCUAAUUUAGUCUUAAAAUGCUGAAAGUUGAAUAUUUGAAGUUUCUGGUUCGAUAGUGAUAUUUUGAUAUGUAUGUCGGAAUGGAAUUCCGAGAGUUGCAGUAGUUACGUUAUGUCAUUUAGGAUAUGUGUGUAAACUUUCAGGUCAUUCAGAGGUGGUUUGGUUGGAUUUUUUUAUCAAAAGCGUAAUUCAAAAGAUUUUGGAAAGCUUAGGCUUAAAUCCGAUGUGUGCUGGUUGAUAUGAUGUCGUUUGAGAUGUGUUGAAGAUUGGCACAAGUUUAAAUAAGGUCUUAGGAUAUGUUGGUGCCUAUGGUUAAGGUCCCGGGGGCCUUGGGUGUGUUUCGGAUACUCAACCGAUAUUUUUAAGUUGUAAAAAAGUUGUAGAAUUGCAAGUUCAGCUAUUGCAGAUAUUUACUCUUCACGUUCGCGAGUGGACCCUCGCAUUCCCGAAGCUUCAGUGCAGUUUAGUGAAAUAUUAGCCUUCGUGUUCGCGAGGAAGGCUCCGUGUUCGCGAAGGGCUGGAUACUUGUGAACUGUGUUCGCGAUUGGAAUUCGCGUUCGCGUAGGAGGAAAAUUGGCCUAGUAGAAUUUACUCAUCGCUUUCGUGAUGUGAGGAAUAUAUUUGCAAAGGUUCGUCUGGGUAAAGACAAACAACUAAUUUAGACAAAAACAUGUUUUUUUGUCUUUUUUUUAAAUGAUGAAACACGUAAACUCUUUUUGGAUUUUCUUUUCCCCUUUUUUGAUUUUUCUUAUUUUUCAGAAAAUGAUGGAAAAAUUGCAAAAUCUUUUUUUGAAUUUUUCAAGUUUUUUUCUUAACAAACAUGUGACAGAAAGCAUAAUUGGGCCCUACUUGCUUUAUUUUCACAUUUCACCCUCUCUUUUCUUCUUUUUAUUUAUUUUUUUUUCUAUUUUCCCUCAACUAUCAUUUAUCCAUCAAAUAACCAUUUUACCCUUGAAGAAAUUCAACAUGUAGCACAAAUGACACAUCAAGAUGGUCUGUUAUUUUGGGUACACCUAUCCUAGACGGACCCAACCUCUAUGUUGAUUCCCCAAAUUCAAAUAUAUGUGGCGCAAACAAACAUUCCUACUAGGGAUCCGGCAUGAGGUUAUUCUCUUCUAAGUUUAAACAUGGGGCUGUUGUGGUAGACUGAGUUUACCAUAGUGGACAAACUUGAGCUAAAGUGGGGUCAAUGUACCGGGAGCACUAAAGUUUGCACAGCAUUAUAGCUGGCCCAUGCCUUGUUCUAUUUAGUACAACUUCUACAGAAAAAGCGGGCCACGGGAAUGUGUGCACCAUAUUCAGAAGACUUAGAGAAAUGGCGUAAGAAGACAAGUAUAUACAAUUCAAACAAUAUCAAAAUGAUAAAUAGACAACAAUUAGCACAAACAUUUACAAAAUAAAGUAAUAUCAACAGUAAAUAAAGCCAAGUAAAAAUCACAUUAACAAGCUCGAAUUCUUAAACCCUGAACCAGAGAUUCUGGGUUGGUAUCCCUAGUAGAGUUUCGAGAGUUGUCACACAUCCUCUUUCUACCCCGAAAGGGUAUUAAGGGAGUUUUUUUCAAUUUAAGUGACAAUCGAAACGAGAUAUUUAUUUGUAAUCAAAGUCGCCACUUAGAAUAGUUUAUGGUGUCCCAAGUCUCUGGUCUAAAUCCCGAAUCGAGGAAGUUGACUCUUAUUUACAGUAUGCGAACACAAAAAUACGGGUAAGAAAUUCUGUUAACUUGGGAGAAGGUGUUAGGAAUUCCCGAGUUCUGUGGUUCUAACACGGUCACUUUGUUCAUACUUGGCUUAAUCAAAUUGUCUAAUUACUGAUAAACCUAUGUGCACUUGCCUUUUUAAUUGGGAAAUUAUCUUGAAACAAGUCACGCGUACGUGUACCUAAUUGUUUUGCGUGUCAAAAUUCAUGUCACGCGUAUGUGUCCACAAUUAAUAACGCUUUAUUAUUGUUAAAAAUGUUUGGCCGAAGUUGCACGAACAUAUGCCCCGAUUUUGUUUUUAAAAUCGUAAUUGUAUCACACGAACGUGUCUACAAUCAUGAUGAUAGAUUAAGCCUCCCAUAAAACAUUUUCUAUGACGUUCAUCAUUUUCCUAAAACUAAUCUGAGAUUAUUGUGAAAGUAAAAAAUUGACAGAUAUGGAGUUACUAGAAGUAAAGAUAUUUUAGCUAAUUAGAGUAGUGACAAACUAUCCACAUGUUAAAGGUGCUUGUAACUCACAUCUCUAUCUUUGAAAUUAUGAGGCAUUUAACUAUUAUGGAUGAGCAUGCCAAUCAUAAUCUACUUAUUGAAAUCACUGGGCCUGGAAAAUCAACUUCUUCGGCCUAUGUUCUCUUUGAUGACUGCAGGUUAAUUACUCUCACAUAAUUGAUGAUUGCAGGUUAAUUCUUGAAACUCCCUUUCAGUUUAAGAGAAGCCAACCGUGCGAUGUAGCUGACUAACUAGCGAAAGGAAUAGGAAAUUCAUAUAGUGAAUAAGCACUUAUAUCCCAAGAAACUUCAACAUGUCUUUACUCAAAAUCCAUUAUUUACCAAAACGAAGACGUCACCGUGCAUUCUACUUUUAUACAUCUAAGUCAGAAUUCAAACAGAGAUUCUAAAAGAACAGUAAAUUCAUGGAUCACAUGCUUCAAACCAGAAGAUAAAGCAGUGGUUUUCUACUGUAAGGACAAAACAUGAACAUAGACUCCUGACUUCCCUUAAAUCAAAAUAUAUGGUCAGCCAAAAACAAAAGCCCAUAUUCCCAUGACCAAUUAGAAAACUAGCAAUUAUUGCAAAAAUAGUCACUACAUCAAUGGAAAAGGGGACAACACAAAUGGCAUACAGUGUUCUUUCGGAAUGAACUAAUCACUUCAUAAAGCAUGCGAUGAGACUAGCGAAACAAAAAAUAACAGUAAUUUUAAAAUACAUGAAGCACAAUGUAAAUUAAUUAAGAGAUGAAUUCAAAUUGAACAAGGACCAUUAUUGUUGCAUAUUUUUUGCCAGGUACAAUGAAAUAAAAUCUUAAAAAAAUAGCAAAACAAAUAAACGAGCUAUAGAUCCGAACCUUGAACCGGCAAAACUCGAAUCACCUCUAUCUAAGGCAUACAAAUGGAGACCAGCCAGAUCUGAAACAGUGACUCCGAAUCUCGACGGCAAUCAAUGAAUCCGGAUCAACCUUUGCUCAUUUGAAUUCCAUCAUUUCGAAGUUUAAAUCAAAAAUCAUAAAUUAAAGAUGAAGACCCUUUUACGUAUGGUUCUGAAAUUUUUAAGAAGAGUUCUUCCCUUUUCUCUAUCUAUUACUAUUCUUCUCUGUCAUAGCAGUAAAAUGGAAAGGGGAAGAGGAUGAGAAAGAAGAGCAGUGGCAGUGUUUGAUUUUUUUGGCGAGUCCGGUGACGAGAAAGAGCGGCGACAGUAGGGAUCUGCAAGAAGAGGGGUGUCACAGCCGUCUAUGAUUUUUCCGUCUUGUGCAUGUGUUUGUAUUAGUGAGAGAAUUCAAGAGAGGAGGGCCGUGGGAAGGGCGAUGUGUGUUCUGCUGUGUUUUUGAGAGGAGGGGCCGUGGGAAGGUUGAAGAAGAAGCAGAAUGGUGUGGACUCUUCUAGAGUCAGCGACAUUGCAUAGAGGGCUUCGUCUAGGGUCUUAGGUCUUUCUUUUAUUCGCUGCUUCUUCUAGUUUGUGAAGAUGAUGUUGACGGGGGAGGGGGUGUGUAUAUAGUAGAAGAACGACGGAUUGUGUAUAGGUCCUGGGGUUUUAGAGUGUAGGUUAUUUUUAGACUACUUUUUGAUUAUACAGAGAGGGUUUUUUGGUUAAGGGGUAAGAAUUAGGUAUUACUGAGCCUCAAAAUU